rnacentral:lncRNA from 10 species
AAUGACUUGUUCUUGGGAGAGGGUAGUGGCAGAGAGAUUGACGCUGAGGAAGAAUGACUAUACCGACGCUGUAACCGUGGAACUGGGUCUUAAACAAGUUCAUGAGGCAGAAGGAGCACUUGUGCAAAGGCAGGGAGACAGGGGACACCGCAACUUAUCCUGAGAACUAGAAGAAUGAUGGGAGCCCGGGGGUGCGGAGUGAAAAACCCACAAUGAUGAUGAAAUUAGAAAGGAAGACAAGAACAACAAGGUUGUGGAAUUCAGAAGCCAUAGAGACAAGAGGUAACACACCUGAGAAAGAUGAUCCCUAAGUUUGUCUUGGAGAAAACUCAGAAGUACCUGACUACAUCGUAGACCUCCCAAACAGCUUCCAAAUGUCAGAUACCACUGAACAUGGGGAUAAAGCUGGGAAAACGGCAAUGGAUUAAUAACAAGAAAUUAAUGGUGAAGUGGUGACUAAAAUUCUACAUUGCUUAGAAAGCAAGUAAGAAAAUCAGUGGUUGUAGAGAAGUUCUUCCAUGAGAUAGUGAAAUGAACAUUUACAUUCUGGCAACCUCAGAAGUACAACGAACAGAGGACACCCGCCAGGUAGGGCAAAGGCCUGUGCACCCCCUUUUGCUGUUACAUGUUUACCAGGUGCG